rnacentral:misc_RNA from 1 species
CAAGAAAUAGAAGUUGAACGGCGCCAAAAGGAAUAGAGAUGUUGGUUUGUGUUUUAUAAAAUAGCAAUCGAAAGAGAGAUCUGCGUGUGAUUUUGCUUUCUGGGUUUAUUUGCAAAUGGAGUACAGGAAAAUCAAGGACGAGGAUAAAGAUGAGGGUGCUGCUGGUGAUGACAUAGAGAGUUUGAGAAACAAAUCUCUUACAGUUCCUAGAGGUAAUGUGGCUACAAUUGGAGGUGGCUCAAAUGACAGAUCCAAGUGGAAGCGCAAGACAAUUGUUACAUUUGCAUUGACUAUUCUCACAAGUUCACAAGCAAUACUUAUUGUUUGGUCCAAGAGAGCUGACAAGUACGAGUACAGUGUUACUACUGCAAAUUUCUUGGUGGAGACUUUAAAAUGUCUGUUAUCACUUGCAGCCUUGGCAAGAAUCUGGAAAAAUGAAGGUGUUACAGUAGAUAACAGGUUGUCUACAACCUUGGAUGAAGUUAGUGUUUAUCCCAUUCCUGCAGCACUUUACCUCGUCAAGAAUUUGCUUCAGUAUUACAUCUUUGCCUAUGUGGAUGCUCCGGGUUAUCAGAUACUCAAGAACCUUAAUAUUAUCAGCACUGGUGUUUUAUAUCAAAUGAUACUUAAGAGAAAGUUAAGUGAGAUUCAAUGGGCAGCUUUCAUUCUAUUAUGUGCUGGAUGUACCACAGCACAAUUGAACCCUUCUUCUGAUCAUGUUCUUCAAACACCUUAUCAGGGUUGGAUAAUGGCCAUUGUAAUGGCACUUUUAAGUGGUUUUGCUGGAGUGUACACUGAGGCUAUAAUUAAAAAGCGUCCUUCAAGAAACAUAAAUGUGCAAAACUUCUGGUUGUAUGUCUUUGGGAUGGUCUUCAAUGCUGUUGCCAUUCUGAUUCAAGAUUUUGAUGCAGUCAUGAACAAGGGUUUCUUCCAUGGAUACUCAUUAAUUACAGUUCUCAUGAUUCUCAAUCAUGCACUCAGUGGUAUUGCUGUAUCCAUGGUAAUGAAGUAUGCAGACAACAUCGUAAAGGUAAAACAUACUCUUGGAAUUGUAAUGCUUUUAUUAAUUUGUAUUUACAUGAGCACAGCAUGUUGAUAACAUUUUUCCCUUAUUUUGAUGGAAAUGUAAAGUAAAUCUGUGAUAUUUGUUCGGUGAACACUGGCUACUUUUUUAUAUUAAUUACUCUUAGCAGCAUAAAAAUGGUUUAUUUCUCAUUGUCUGCCUGUUGUUAGUAUGAUUUUGAAGUUAUUAGAUUGUGCUUUUAAAAAAUAAUCUUAGGUGGGAAUAUUAGCGAGGAAAAUGAGGUAUGAGGCUGAAGUUGGUGGCUCAAAUGAUAUGAAGAACCAUUUUUUAUUUUCCUUCUACAUGAUUUUAACUCUGAUAAUUUUGUUGGAGUGGUUGAAAAGAAAAGAAAAUGAAUCAGCAGCAUAGCAGGAUACACUAAAUGUAGUUCCUACAUUUAUUUAUCUUCCAAAUGUGGUGCAGGUCUAUGCUACUUCAGUGGCCAUGCUUCUCACAGCAGUUGUCUCUGUGUUUCUAUUUGGCUUUCAUCUAUCCCUUGCUUUCUUCCUCGGCUCAACGUAAGCUGCCUUUAGCACACACUUUAACUCCCUUUGCUGUAGUCUAUGCAUCAGUCUUCACAAUUAUCCUGUCCUGCUACCAUAUAUCAUGUGCAGUCGUAGGACUGGUCAUUAAUCAGCACAUCAGAUUAUCUCAACUGUGGAGAUUAUAAUUUUAUAUCUGCAUUCUCUUUGUCCUAAUUCUGCACGCCUGCCAUCUCUAUAACACAUGCAGGGUAAAUAUUGUUAAUAUUCAAAAAGCAAGGUGGUUUUGUUUACUGACUAAUACUGUCUUGUAUUUUUCCAGUGUUGUCUCUGUCUCCGUUUAUCUGCACUCCAUCGGCAAGUUAACAAGACAACGAUAGUGACUUCUUAUGAUCUCUGCGAAAUCCAGUGUAAAAGUUUCUACUAAAUUUUUUUUGUUCUUAAUUUUUUUCCCCUACACAGUUAUCUUGGGUAUACCCAUUUGAGUACACAAGACUUUAAGAGAAGCACAACCCUUUUUCUGUAAUUCUGUUACAAUUAAUUCAUGAUCAACAAGCAUAAAAUACUAGAUUUCAGUCUCGAGUAGUGUUUUUCUGCUUUAAGGAUAGAUGAGUAAGAGAUGACCAGUUUCAUCUGCAAACCUCCUUACUGCAUAUUUACUUUAAGAAACUUCAGUACUCAGAUUAUAUUUUACUCACAUGCUAUACUGAGAUUGAAAUGUGCCAUUUGAAGACUGAUAAUUGCUUAUAUAUAUUAGCCUGACCUCAAAAUGACACUGCAAUGCAUACGGACUUAGGUUAGCAUGCCAGUGGUGAGAUACUAGUGUGAUUAAUUCAUGUCUUUUAUCGGAUGUCCCUGAAGGGACUGGUUAAUUAAUGUUCACUUAAUUUAUCUUUUAGUUUCAGUGUGGAAAUCCAAAAAAAAGAAAAAUCCCAAUAAAUAAAUAAAGACAAAACUAAGAAGCAAGGAAAUUGUCCUAUAAAAGUUAAAACAGCAAUAUGUAAAAUUUUUUCUAAUCAACAAACAAAAUUAAAUCAAAUUCUAUCAUUGUCCUAUCAAACUAAAUGUUUAUUUAAUCCUUUAAGAGAGGAUUUAUUGCUGCUCCAACAAAACACACAACUCCAGACAUUUCUUCUUUAAUCAUGAACAUGGAAAGAUGAUCUGCAACAAAACUAGGAUUUCAGGCGCAACUAAGUUUGAAAUGGGAUAGAGUCGAUGCUGCAGCCUUCGUACCUUUCUCAUCUACUUCAAUGCAAGAUUUGUGAAUCAUUUUGGAUAUAUAAACUGUCAGCAUAAGCAGAAUCCACUAUCUCUGUCAACCCUUGGUCAGUCUCCUCAAAAGGCAGUGUUAAUCCUACUUCUUACAUCACACCUGACGCUUCUAUGUCAUAUGAAAACUUCAACUUCAGAAUCCACAUCUUAGAAAGCUUUGCUUGCUCAAGUUUCUAAUUCGUCAUGCAACAAUCUUGGUUUAGAGUCAGCUUUUCCAUUAAUUCUUGUAGUCCAUCAUUCUUAUCAGGAAGAAAUAUGUACAUAGAGAAUUGCUUAUUUUCUUGCCCAUUUUUAUAUGGUAAUUUGAGAAGAUUGAAACCCUAAAAGGAUCCAUAAAAUGGCAGCUUACCUGAGCCACCAGUCAUGAAGGGAACUUUUACGGUUGCUCCACUGAGAAGAUGAAAGUCUUUAUGAGGAGUUCUUUAAGUGUCGAAAGUAUAACCCAAGUUCCUUUGAAGUAGAGUUCAUUGGCAAGCACAAGCAUAGGAUACUUGUCAAAGCAAUCAGGUUGAAGAAGAUUCUUUAUGAGACCUUUAUUUGCUUUUUG